rnacentral:tRNA from 1 species
AGCCCCAUAGUGUAGUGGUCAAGCAUACGGGAUUCUGGGUCCCGUGACCCAGGUUCGAAUCCUGGUGGGGCUA